AGGUGGAGCUACGCGAAGCGAUUCUGGAAGGCCAGCCCAACGGCGAACCAUGGAAGAAGAUUCUGAUCAUUGUGGAGGGGAUCUAUUCUAUGGAGGGAGAGGUUUGUCCGCUGCCAGAGAUUGUUGUCAUCAAGAAGAAGUAU
rnacentral:ribozyme from 1 species